rnacentral:lncRNA from 1 species
UAAGGUUACAACAGCAUUGGGUUUCAUUCUAGGAUACUACUGUAUCAGGUCCAUAUUUACAUCAAGAAAAGCUCAGGAUACAGUGUAUUUGAAAGAUACUAGUGUAUCAAGUCCAUAUUUACAUCAAAGACAACUCAGUAUAUGGUCUAUUUGAGUGAUACUGGUUAUCAGGUCCACAUUUACACCAAGGAAAACUAAGGAUACAGUAAGUUUGAAAGAUACUGGUGUAUCAAGCCCAUAUUUACAUACCGGUAAUCAUCUUUCUUUUCAGGUUACACCAACAUUGUGUUUAUUUCUAAUGUACUGGUGUAUUAGGUCCAUAUUCACAUCAAUGAAAACUCAGGAUACAGUCUAAUUGAGUGAUACUAGUGUAUCACGUCCACAUUUACAUCAUAAUCCAUAUAUAUUAGGUUACAACAUUGGGUUUAUUUCUAAGAAACUAGUGUAUCAAGUCCAUAUUUAUAUCAA